rnacentral:ncRNA from 2 species
GUUGGUGGAGCGAUUUGUCU